GUCUCCCAAGUAGCUGGGAUUACAGAUUCUUCAAGGAAAGGAACCAUCUCUUCUUUCUCCUUUGGUACUAUCAAGCAACAUCUUCGACAUCUACUUCAUCUACUGGAAGAAACCUCCCACGUUCUCCAGAGUUGUCAACCAUGUACCAGGAUAUGAUGCAAAUAUAAAGGGAUCAUUGCUUUUAUCUUGUCCUCUUACAGUCAAAUGUCCAGAAUUAACAUCUACGUUUGUGGCUCCUCA
rnacentral:lncRNA from 1 species